rnacentral:rRNA from 1 species
CAAGUCGAACGGACUCAUAUUGAAACCUAGUGAAGUAUGAGUUAGUGGCCUUCGGGUGAGUAACGCGUGGAAAACCUGCCGUAUACUGGGCUAUAACACUUAGAAAUAGGUGCUAAUACCGCAUAAGCGCACAGCUUCGCAUGAAGCAGUGUGAAAAACUGAGGUGGUAUACGAUGGUUCCGCGUCUGAUUAGCUAGUUGGUGGAGUAAAAGCCUACCAAGGCAACGAUCAGUAGCCGGCCUGAGAGGGUGAACGGCCACAUUGGGACUGAGACACGGCCCAAACUCCUACGGGAGGCAGCAGUGGGGAAUAUUGCACAAUGGGGGAAACCCUGAUGCAGCGACGCCGCGUGAGUGAAGAAGUAUUUCGGUAUGUAAAGCUCUAUCAGCAGGGAAGAAAUACUGACCAUAGGGUCAGCAGACGGUACUUGACUAAGAAGCCCCGGCUAACUACGUGCCAGCAGCCGCGGUAAUACGUAGGGGGCAAGCGUUAUCCGGAUUUACUGGGUGUAAAGGGAGCGUAGACGGCAGCGCAAGUCUGAAGUGAAAUGCCAGGGCUUAACCCUGGAACUGCUUUGGAAACUGUGCAGCUAGAGUGCAGGAGAGGUAAGUGGAAUUUCUAGUGUAGCGGUGAAAUGCGUAGAUAUUAGGAGGAACACCAGUGGCGAAGGCGGCUUACUGGACUGUAACUGACGUUGAGG